rnacentral:tRNA from 1 species
GGGCAUAGUUCAACGGUAGAAUGUCGGUCUCCAAAACCGCUGAUGUGGGUUCGAUUCCUACUGCCC